rnacentral:misc_RNA from 1 species
CUCCAAUCCAAUAAUAUAUGAAAUAAAAUAUAAAUAGAGAACAUUGAACCUUGAUUAAAUGUACGAACUCCAAUUAAUCAACAAGUAACACAAUCCAUAAAAUUUAAAUCAUGAUGAGCCAGAGAAAUUGGCUGAUAAUUUAUUCAAGUAAUUAAUUAAUCAGAGAAAAUAUCCACAUGAAGUUGUUCAUCUUCUUGUUCAUUAUUAACACCAAGCAAAGCCAUAAUCUCAUCUUCAACAUUACUAUUCUCAUUCAGCAUAUCCUCCCAAAAUCCUUCAUUAUUUUCUUCUUCUAAAUUGAUUAAUGUGUUCCCAUGUGACAUGUUCAUAGCCACUUGUAAAUCAUCAUCAAAUUCAUUAUUAAUAAUAUCAUGAUCUUGAGGUUCUAACUUAAUUAUAUUACUAGGACCAGCUUCAUAAUAAUCAAUUGGCCUCCUCCUCUUCUUCUUCAUUGCUUCUUCAAGUUGUUUCCUUUUAUCAUUUUGUUGCAUUAUUUGCUCCACAAAAUUUGGAUUAUGUAAUGCUUUAGCCAAAAAACUCAUUAUUUGCUCUUGUUUGAUUUCUGUCCCUUGAAGCUUUUGCUCCAUAGCUUGAAGUUGUGAUUUAGUAGCCUUUUGAUGCUGUUUAAGUUUAACAAGUUCAAUCAUGAGAACCUGCUUGUCGCGUCUUAAUUCAUCGAUUUCUCCAUCAAAUGAUCCAAACCUUCCCAACUCAACACAUGAUGAUGAUGAUGAUGAAGUAGAAUCCAUACCUUGAUUAUUAAUUGAUGACGAAGACUUGAUGAAAUUACUUGGUUUUCUUCUCCUUAUUGUUCUCAAGAGAUGCUUUUUCCCUCUCAGAAAACCUUCAUUAGCAAAUUCCCAAUGGUCUGGAUUUACUUUCCUAAAUCCCUGCAUUUUUUUAAACACAUUCCUCUUCUCCAUAACAAAAGAAAGACACAAGCUCAUGGAAAAAUACUUUUUAGCGGCAAUAAAUUAAAUAUGUACAUUAACAAACAGUGCUUAAUUAAGCCUUUACUGAUAUUAGUUAAUUGUCGUUAUAUCCAAAAGCACUAUAGGCUUUAGGAAUAUUUACAAAGAGUGGUAAAAUGUAUUUGUCACUAGUAACUGCGGCUAAAGGAACAUAUUCAACAACAAUUAUAAUUGCUGGUAGUAGUGCUAGUGUACAUAAACAAUAAUUGUGGAGUAGUAGUCUUUGUUGAAACAAAUCACUACCAAAAUUGUUUAAUAUUUUGUCACUAAGUAGAAUUAAGAAGGAUUUUGUUUUUUAGCUAUAUAUAUGGUAUUUCUGUCGUCGCUAAUUCUUAAUUUUUUUUCUUUCUUUUAAGUAGUGAAAAGUCAAUGAAGAUAUACACCUCCCUUUCUUAGGGAUUUAGAUUUAACAAACUCUGGCUAGACUUUUGAACCUCAGGAACAUAUAUGCAAAUCUUUAAGAAAUAAAAGUUCUUAAAAAAAACUAUAUAUUCAUCAUUUGAUCCUCAAAAGCUUUAAUAUAAUUCUUCAUCUUUCUUGUUCCCAUUGAUUAAGUAUUAGAUAAAAAAAAUAUAAAAAAGUUUAUGUUAUGUGCACUGACGAUGUAAUAUUGCACUAAUCAGGUCAAAAUUGACCUAUUAAACAUAGAAUAUAACUAUGUAUCAAUUUUGAUAUGGCAAUUUUACGAAUGUCAUGAUAUGUGUUAUACAAAAUCAAAUAUCUAGUCAAUUAUUGUCAUAUA